CACGUAGGGGGCAAGCGUUGUCCGGAUUUAUUGGGCGUAAAGAGCUCGUAGGCGGCUCAGUAAGUCAGGUGUGAAACCUCCAGGCUCAACCUGGAGACGCCACCUGAUACUGCUGUGGCUAGAGUCCGGUAGGGGAGCGUGGAAUUCCGUGGUGGUAGCGGUGAAAUGCGCAGAUAUCAGGAGGAACACCGGUGGCGAAGGCGGAUCUCUGGGCCUUACCCUGACGCUCGAGGCGACGAAAGCUACGGGGAGCGAACUGG
rnacentral:rRNA from 1 species